rnacentral:rRNA from 1 species
GAUGAACGCUAGCGGCAGGCCUAACACAUGCAAGUCGAGGGGUAGAGUUCUUCGGGACUUGAGACCGGCGCACGGGUGCGUAACGCGUAUGCAAUCUACCUUAUACAGGGGAAUAGCCCAGAGAAAUUUGGAUUAAUGCCCCAUAGUGUUAUCGAAUCGCAUGGUUUGAUAACUAAAGUUCCAACGGUAAAAAGAUGAGUAUGCGUCCCAUUAGCUAGAUGGUAAGGUAACGGCUUACCAUGGCAAUGAUGGGUAGGGGUCCUGAGAGGGAGAUCCCCCACACUGGUACUGAGACACGGACCAGACUCCUACGGGAGGCAGCAGUGAGGAAUAUUUGUCAAUGGGCGCAAGCCUGAACCAGCCAUGCCGCGUGCAGGGAAGACGGUCCUAUGGAUUGUAAACUGCUUUUANACAAGGAAGAAACCCUCCCACGUGUGGGAGCUUGACGGUACUGUAGGAAUAAGGAUCGGGCUAAACU